GACAGAGGGGGCAAGCGUUGCUCGGAAUUACUGGGCGUAAAGCGUGCGUAGGCGGUGUCUUAAGUUUGUUGUGAAAUCUCCCGGCUUAACCGGGAGGGUGCGGCGAAUACUGAGAUGCUGGAGUGCCGGAGAGGUAAGCGGAAUUCCUGGUGUAGCGGUGAAAUGCGUAGAUAUCAGGAGGAACACCUGCGGUGUAGACGGCUUACUGGACGGUAACUGACGCUGAGGCACGAAAGCGUGGGUAGCAAACAGG
rnacentral:rRNA from 1 species